AUGGUCAUAUCAUGUUGAAACACUGGUUCUCAUAUGAUCACUAAAUUUAAGCAAUGCUGAGCCUGGUCAAUACCUAGAUGGGUGACUGCUUGGGAAUAUUAGGUGUUGUAAG